rnacentral:rRNA from 1 species
GACGAACGCUGGCGGCGUGCCUAACACAUGCAAGUCGAACGGGAUUAAGGGGCUUGCUCCUUAAUCUAGUGGCGCACGGGUGAGGAACGCGUGGAUAAUCUGCCUUAGAGUGGGGGAUAGCUAGUCGAAAGAUUAGCUAAUACCGCAUAAGACCACAGGAGCUGCGGCUCAAGGGGUCAAAGGUUUUUCGCUCUAAGAUGAGUCCGCGUAAGAUUAGCUAGUUGGUGAGGUAACGGCUCACCAAGGCGACGAUCUUUAACUGGUCUGAGAGGAUGAUCAGUCACACUGGAACUGAGACACGGCCCAGACUCCUACGGGAGGCAGCAGUGGGGAAUAUUGGACAAUGGGCGGAAGCCUGAUCCAGCAACGCCGCGUGAGGGAUGACGGCCUUCGGGUUGUAAACCUCUUUCUUCAUCGACGAAGCUUCACGUUGAGUGGGGUGACGGUAGGUGGAGAAGAAGCACCGGCCAACUACGUGCCAGCAGCCGCGGUAAAAC